rnacentral:rRNA from 1 species
CCUACGGGAGGCUACAGUGGGGAAUUUUGCGCAAUGCUCGUAAGAGUGACGCAGCGACGCCGCGUGAAUGACGAAGGCCUUCGGGUCGUAAAGUUCUUUCGACAGGGAAGAAAAUGCCUAUAAGUAACUGUGUAUGUAUUGACGGUACCUAUAUAAGCAGCCCCGGCUAACUCCGUGCCAGCAGCCGCGGUAAUACGGAGGGGGCGAGCGUUGUUCGGAGUGACUGGGCGUAAAGAGCACGUAGGCGGUGUUGUAAGUCAUUAGUCAAAGACUAGAGCUCAACUUUAGUAAGGCUAGUGAUACUAUAAUACGAGAGUAUCAGAGAGGAUUGCAGAAUUCCUGGUGUAGCGGUGAAAUGCGUAGAUAUCAGGAGGAAUACCGUUAGCGAAGGCGGCAAUCUGGCUGGAAACUGACGCUGAGGUGCGAAAGCGUGGGUAGCAAACAGGAUUAGAUACCCCAUAGUC